rnacentral:rRNA from 1 species
AUUGAACGCUGGCGGCAGGCCUAACACAUGCAAGUCGAGCGGAUGAAGGGAGCUUGCUCCUGGAUUCAGCGGCGGACGGGUGAGUAAUGCCUAGGAAUCUGCCUGGUAGUGGGGGAUAACGUCCGGAAACGGGCGCUAAUACUGCAUACGUCCUGAGGGAGAAAGUGGGGGAUCUUCGGACCUCACGCUAUCAGAUGAGCCUAGGUCGGAUUGGCUAGUUGGUGGGGUAAAGGCCUACUAAGGCGACGAUCCGUAACUGGUCUGAGUGGAUGAUCAGUCGCACUGGAACUGGAACACGGUCCAGGCUACUGCGGGAGGGAGCAGUGGGGAAUAUUAGGCAGUAGGGGAGAGCCUUGUCCAACCAUGCCGCGUGUGUGAAGGAGGUCUUCGGAUUGUGAAGCACUUUAAGUUGGGGGAAAGGGCAGUAGGUUAAUACCUUGCUGUUUUGACGUUACCAACAGAAUAAGCACCGGCUAACUUCGUG